CAGCCGCCGCGGGAACACGGAGGGGGCUAGCGUUAUUCGGAAUUACUGGGCGUAAGGCGCACGUAGGCGGAUCAGAAAGUCAGAGGUGAAAUCCCAAGGCUCAACCUUGGAACUGCCUUUGAAACUCCUGAUCUUGAGGUCGAGAGAGGUGAGUGGAAUUCCGAGUGUAGAGGUGAAAUUCGUAGAUAUUCGGAGGAACACCAGUGGCGAAGGCGGCUCACUGGCUCGAUACUGACGCUGAGGUGCGAAAGCGUGGGGAGCAAACAGGAUUAGAUACCCGCGUAGUCCCUGUCUCUUAUAC
rnacentral:rRNA from 1 species